rnacentral:rRNA from 1 species
UGAGGAAUAUUGCACAAUGGGCGAAAGCUUGAUGCAGCAACGCCGCGUGAGGGAUGAAGGCCCUCGGGUCGUAAACCUCUUUUCUGAGGGACGAGACCAGGACGGUACCUCGGGAAUAAGUCUCGGCUAACUACGUGCCAGCAGCCGCGGUAAAACGUAGGAGGCGAGCGUUAUCCGGAUUUACUGGGCGUAAAGCGCACGCAGGCGGCUUCGUUAGUCGGAUGUUAAAGCUCCCGGCUUAACUGGGAGAGGCCAUUCGAUACUGCGGGGCUUGAGGUUGGGAGAGGGGUGUGGAAUUCCCGGUGUAGUGGUGGAAUGCGUAGAUAUCGGGAGGAACACCUGUGGCGAAGGCGGCACCCUGGCCCACACCUGACGCUGAGGUGCGAAAGCGUGGGUAGCAAACAGG